rnacentral:rRNA from 1 species
AUUGAACGCUGGCGGCAUGCCUUACACAUGCAAGUCGAACGGCAGCACGGGUGCUUGCACCUGGUGGCGAGUGGCGAACGGGUGAGUAAUACAUCGGAACAUGUCCUGUAGUGGGGGAUAGCCCGGCGUAAGCCGGAUUAAUACCGCAUACGAUCUACGGAUGAAAGCGGGGGACCUUCGGGCCUCGCGCUAUAGGGUUGGCCGAUGGCUGAUUAGCUAGUUGGUGGGGUAAAGGCCUACCAAGGCGACGAUCAGUAGCUGGUCUGAGAGGACGACCAGCCACACUGGGACUGAGACACGGCCCAGACUCCUACGGGAGGCAGCAGUGGGGAAUUUUGGACAAUGGGCGAAAGCCUGAUCCAGCAAUGCCGCGUGUGUGAAGAAGGCCUUCGGGUUGUAAAGCACUUUUGUCCGGAAAGAAAUCCUUGGCUCUAAUACAGUCGGGGGAUGACGGUACCGGAAGAAUAAGCACCGGCUAACUACGUG